UCGAGAAUCUUCGGCAAUGGGCGCAAGCCUGACCGAGCGACGCCGCGUGGAGGAUGAAGGCCUUCGGGUUGUAAACUCCUGUCGAGGGGGAGGAAGGGGUAACCUUGACCUAUCCCUGGAGGAAGCACGGGCUAAGUUCGUGCCAGCAGCCGCGGUAAGACGAACCGUGCGAACGUUAUUCGGAAUCAUUGGGCUUAAAGCGCGUGUAGGCGGAUGGGAACGUCGGUGUUGAAAGCCCCCGGCUCAACCGGGGAACUGGCGCCGAAACGACCCGUCUCGAGGGGCAUAGGGGGAGCUGGAACUUCCGGUGGAGCGGUGAAAUGCGUUGAGAUCGGAAGGAACGCCCGUGGCGAAAGCGAGCUCCUGGAUGUCUUCUGACGCUGAGACGCGAAAGCUAGGGUAGCGAACGGGAUUAGAUACCCCCGUAGUCC
rnacentral:rRNA from 1 species